UGAAGUUGCGUGCCGUAGAACCAGGAAGC
rnacentral:sRNA from 1 species